rnacentral:rRNA from 1 species
UACGAAGGGUGCAAGCGUUAUCCGGAUUCAUUGGGUUUAAAGGGUGCGUAGGCGGCUUUGUAAGUCAGUGGUGAAAUAUGGCAGCUCAACUGUCAGGGUGCCAUUGAUACUGCGGAGCUUGAGUACAGAUGAGGUAGGCGGAAUUGACGGUGUAGCGGUGAAAUGCUUAGAUAUCGUCAAGAACACCGAUAGCGAAGGCAGCUUACUGGGCUGUAACUGACGCUGAGGCACGAAAGUGUGGGGAUCAAACAGG